CGGGGUACAAACUAAAACUGACGGAAACGCAUAAAUAUAAGAGGAGAACAACGACACAACACUACAAUGUAACUAACACAAACAGAAACGGACCAAGCAACAGACAACAUCUCACAAGAAUAACAAAUAUAACAUCAAAGCCAAAUACAUGAAUUUGGGAUAGACAAGUACCGUGACACGUCUUAUCGCAAUGUCAAUUUACACUCAAAA
rnacentral:lncRNA from 1 species